rnacentral:rRNA from 1 species
AGCGGCAGGCUUAACACAUGCAAGUCGAGGGGUAACAGAUAGCUUGCUAUGCUGACGACCGGCGAACGGGUGCGUAACGCGUAUAGAAUCUGCCUUGUACAGGAGGAUAGCCUUUAGAAAUGAAGAUUAAUACUCCAUAAUGUUAAUUAGAGGCAUCUCUUAUUAAUUAAACAUUUAUGGGUACAAGAUGACUAUGCGUCCUAUUAGCUAGAUGGUAAGGUAACGGCUUACCAUGGCAACGAUAGGUAGGGGGUCUGAGAGGAUUAUCCCCCACACUGGUACUGAGACACGGACCAGACUCCUACGGGAGGCAGCAGUGAGGAAUAUUGGUCAAUGGAGGCAACUCUGAACCAGCUAUGCCGCGUGCAGGAAGACUGCCCUAUGGGUUGUAAACUGCUUUUAUACAGGAAGAAACAGUAGUACGUGUACUACCUUGACGGUACUGUAAGAAUAAGGACCGGCUAACUCCGUGCCAGCAGCCGCGGUAAUACGGAGGGUCCAAGCGUUAUCCGGAAUCAUUGGGUUUAAAGGGUCCGCAGGCGGUCAAUUAAGUCAGAGGUGAAAGCCCAUCGCUCAACGAUGGAACUGCCUUUGAUACUGGUUGACUUGAGUUAUACGGAAGUAGAUAGAAUAAGUAGUGUAGCGGUGAAAUGCAUAGAUAUUACUUAGAAUACCGAUUGCGAAGGCAGUCUACUACGUAUAUACUGACGCUCAUGGACGAAAGCGUGGGGAGCGAACAGGAUUAGAUACCCUGGUAGUCCACGCCGUAAACGAUGGAUACUAGUUGUUGGGUUUCGACUCAGUGACUAAGCGAAAGUGAUA